UCUUCACCCCUCGCGAUCAGAGAGAAAAAAAAAAAAAAGUGUGUGAGANAGAGAGAGAGAGAGAGUUCUCUACUCUCGAAUGGUCGAUUGAUUUCUCCUCUCUCUCAUCUGACGCUCUCUCGUUGAUGCUGAUUUUUUAAAAACUAAAGAAAAUUCAGAGCACAAUUAGGGUUUUAUGACCCCCAAGCAUCAUCAAUCGUAUAUGAAAUCAGCUUCUUCCCCAACCCAUCAUCGUGUCGUGUGUGGUUUCCACGGGCGCUUCUUAUUCGAACGAGCAAGUUAAGAAGGAUCCGAUAUUGGUGCCCGGUGAGGAUUGGAGGACGUUGCUUGUUUUGUUUCCAUAGUUGGUGUUUCUUCUUCUGAUUUAACCGACGGCCAAGUACAGGUCAGAGACAUGGAUUGAAGAAUGAAGAAGAAGACUCAAGAAUAAUUAAGUUAACUCUGUUCUUCUUUGUUUUUUACUUGGAUUUUGAGAUUUACCAAGUUAUACUAACCUGCUUCUGAUGCUGUUUUCUCUUUCUCGUUUCAACUGAUCUUCUCUUUCUCUAUAUAUAUAUGGUGGUUCACUUCCUUUCCAUUACUGUUAAGGAUGAUGCUGAAUUAUGGACCCAAACGAUGGCAAAGAAAUCCUCUUCGUAUUGCUAUGUAAGUCAUCUCAAAGUUUUACUCUUUUCUUUAUCUUCUUCUGUUACAAGCUUAUCUCUAUCCUCUAACCAUGGAUACUCCUCUCCUUGCUUUGUAAGUGAUCUUAAAUUCUUCUACGUUUUUCUUUUCUUUGUCCUGUUUCAAGUUCAUCCUUGACUACCCAUUGAUCCUUUUUUUUCUUUGUUGAACAACAAGGUGCUACUGAAGUGGAACUGGACAAGGCCACAAAAUUCAACGCGGUGCUUUUUAACGGGGUUGUUUGUUUCUUUUUGGUUUAACAGCUUCUCUAGAUGAUGGAGAUAUACUUAUGGUGAUUCACUUCCUUCCCAUUACUGUUAAGAAUGAUGCUGAAUUAUGGACCCAAACGAUGGAAAGGACAUCCUCCUCUUAUUGCUCUGUGCUACUGAAGUUGGAACUCGACAAGGCACUAGAAUUCAACGCACCAUCCUUUCAACUAAAAGGUACUUGUCAUUGCCUCAUGCUGUUAAGCUGAUUUAAUGGUUGCUGCAGUAGUGCAGUAGCACUUGGGAUAAAAACAAAACAGAGGUGUUUGUCACAGCUGUCCGUGACUACAAACUGUCUCUCCAAAACUUGAAUGAUGAAAAAAAAAAGAAAGAGAAACAUACUUCUGGAGAGAAAAAAAACCAACAAACAAUGAGAGAGAAGUGAAGAUCGGAGAGCGUUCGGUGAUGAUUCUUGAAGAAUGAAGAAGAUUCAGAGCAGAAUUAGGGUUUACGAUUGAUUACCCAAACGACAACAACGACAUUUUUAAUUUAUAUGGUGCCAAGUGAGAAUCGGAGGAGCCGGAGGACGUUGCUUAUCGGGGUGGGAUGGUUUGAUGAAUGAAUGAUGUUUCAGAACUUGGGGAUUUAUGGUCAGAGAUGGAUUGAAGAAUGACGAAGAAGACUCGAAACUGCUUAAGGUUUGUUUGAUGAUGAUCGGAACAACAACAGCAAUGGUAAAAAAAUCCCAUCCUCUUCUUGAUGAAUUAGCAAGAUAUGGUGCAAGUGAUGAUCGGAGGAGAAGGAGCAGGCUGUUUCUUUCCAUGUGAUCCUAAUGGGAGUUAGAAAACUGUAUGAAUUCCGAGGUUUGUGUUCACAUCUUCUACUGUACGUGGCCUCGCAUCAUCUGCUUCAUGCCAAGAUUUGAAGGAUCAUAUGCGGGGAUAGCUGGUGAUGUGCGAUUUACUGAGGUCACUCGAGACAGUGGUGCGUCUACUUCCUUGUCCACUUCAAAUUCUCCCCAUCCACAUAAGUUGUGAUGCAUUCAUAUAAAACGAUGGUCCAAUCCUAUUCUGGACAUUGGAUUGGGGUUUGUUUCAGGAGUCUAGAUACGACGACGACGACGGUAUCUAUGAUAUUGUUAAUCUUCUGGAGAGUAUUGCGGAUGAUCGGAGGGGACAUUGUUUGUUUCCAUGGCGUUUCUUCUAAUUUGACCGAGCAAGUAGAGAUCGCGGAGAUGCUUUCAAGAAUCAAAACUGAUUCUAUUGGAUUGAUGGUGUUUGACCAAGUACAGAUAUAGAUACUACACUGUGCUUUUUGUUUGUCUCAAGGAGUCUCGUCAUCUGCUCACAGCUGAUAUAGGACAGGGCUCUUGGACUGCCACUAGAGCGGCCAAAGAGUGAACAUGGAGAGGGUACAUCAUCUCCAAAGGGAUUAUCCGGCCUUUGGCAACUUCUCUCGUCCAAGCCUGGGGUGGUGGUUAUGCAGCUUUUGCUUUUUCAGGCUGGUCCCUAAGCUUUAUGAAGUGUUUGGUGCCUCCUAUUCUAACUGAGCUGGGCAAGCAUGAUCUGGUUCUUUGGUGUGGGUUUUAUGGGUCUUUGGCAACAUCUCGUCUAAAGCGUGGGGGAUCACAAGUGGUGCUCAUGCAACUUUUGCCUUUUCAGGCUGGUACCCCAAGUUUUAUGAAGUGGUUGGUGCCUCCUAUCCUAACCGAGCAUGGGAAAGGUCAAGAACCACCCGUGGCCAAACUUUGAUUCUCAUAGCGGAGUGCUGCUUAACUAUUUAUCAUCUAACCGAAGCAAGGAUUGCUUGAUUAGAGACUUUGUAGAAACAUGGCACGAAGACGCAGUAGUUUUUUCUCCACCGAGGUAAUUGUUAAAUCCAACCCGUAUUUCGUCAGAUCAGCGCAGGUCUUUGAUGAAUGCAACGAACAAACUGAUAUUACAAAGGUGGAGAUCUAAACGAUGGAAGGGAUGUCGGUCUCCAGGCUUAUAAUUGGGAAUCUCACAAACAUGAUUGGUGGAGAAACUUGCACGGAGAAGUUCCCGGCGUCGCAAAUCUGGCUUUACUUUCUGCAUGGUUGCCACCAUCAUCUCAGUCUCUUGCCACCAGAAGCUGAUCUUCCACAUUACCUUUAUUCACUAAACUCAGCAUAUGGCUCUGAGCAUCUAUUGGAAUAUUUACUUCCUCAGAUGAAACAGUACAAAGUUGGUUGAUAUAGUUAUCAAUCAUCGUGUUGGGACAACUAGAGGACAUGGUGGAAUGUAUAACCGUUAUGAUGGAAUUUUCUUUAUACCGUGGGAUGAACACGCCGUGACUUCUUGUACCGGAGGACUGGAAAUAUAUAACCGGGUGGCUUCGUUGGCUUCGCAACACUGUUUGGUUUAAGGAUUUCCGUUUUGACGUUGCUAGGGGCAAACUAUGUGAAGGAAUACAUUGGAGCGUUUUUGAACCAUCCAGAAGGUCUCGUCGCCUAUGAAUCUCAUCGAGAAGAAUAUUUCAUAAUAGCUGAGCCUGAUCUUUAAAAAAUGGAUGUAACUACGCUACAUUAUUUUGUCUCUGAGGUCAUUUCUCGCCAGCUACUAUAAAUCUAGGUAAAUUUUGAGUUUUGUUUAACUUUCCACUCAUGCUCCUUGGUCUUUUAUAUAAGCUGACGUCGGGAAAACUAACCAUGCAUAGAAGCAAAAGAUGAUAUUGUUGUAUUUCAGGAACCAUUGGACACAUCGCUCAUGGAAAGUCCACUGUUGUGAAAGCUAUUUCUGGUGUGCAGGUAAAUAAUGACUAUGUUUUCCCCUUUUUCACAGUUCUAUAAGCACGAUUAAUUUGAAUCUAUGCUGUGAAUCUUGUUGCCGUCGAGAUUUUUGAAGAAUGAAGAAGAUUCAGAGCAUAAUUAGGGUUUACGAUUGACAUUAUACUUGUGGGCUAGUUUUAUUAAGUUGGGCCGGUUAAAAUGAAGGGAACAGCAAUAAACUAACGGGGGCAAAGUGGUCUUUAUGGUAUAGAGACUUAGGGCUAGGGUUUUUGACGAGCCGCUAGCUAUAUAAGAUCAUCUUCUUCAUUGCUCUGCUUCCUACAGUUCGUAUAUCUUUAGAACUGUCUUGUUCAAUCUCUUAGGGUUUUAUCUAUAUAUAACUAGAGUAUCUUUAGGUUAGCAGGAGCCUCCCGGGCUAAUCUGAUUACAAGAGAUGAGGAAGUAAGCCCCAAAGCUCCUGCUAGAUUUGUUUUUGGCCGUUUGUGUUGCAGAUUCGCCUUAUUCCUUAGGCUCUUCUGUGUCUAAAAAGCGGCUAUAUCUAUAUCUCUUUAAUGGUAGCCAUGUUCUUGUUUAGUGUUUUUGUUAAUGGGCGAUGAUUAUAAACUUACCCGCGCUUCUGAGAUGCUUCUUUAGGUCAAUGAAGCAUAUACGGUAAAAUACAUAGUUGAAUUUCUUAAUAUGAGCCUUAGAGUUCUUGUUUUCUCGUCUUCGAAGUUUUGCUCUUUUGAGUUAAUUUGUUUUGGGCAGUGAUGAUUAAUUGUAACAGCUUGAUACGCCAGUUCUGCUUCAGAUAAUUCUUGAUUGAAAAAGCUAUAUUCUUAUCUGAGCCUUUAUUAGUGUUUCUUUUACCAAAGUGUUUGUUUUCGAAUUAUUUGAAUUGUCGAUGAUGAUAUAAUCCAAUCUUACGAGGUGCAGUGGAGCUGAGACCCUGUUUUUCAGGGAGAACCCCUUGGCAGAAGCUGCAAUUUCUAUGAUUUCUUUGGGUUUUACUGAGACUUCACUUCAUUACUUUAUCGUUUUUGUUUUUUUGGUUUUCUUUAAUAAUGAAAUUUAUUUGAGUUUAAACUAUACACUUGCACUUGUAUCGUAGUGCCUGUAGUCUGAAAAAACUCAUAUAUCUUCAAGUGUUCU